AUGGUAGACGAAGCACGAGAUGAAUCAAAGAAAGAGCAAAUGGCAUUGGUUCUUCGAUUCCCGAGCACCGAGGGGUUCAUACAGGAGCGUUUUCUUGAUGUAAUUCAUGUCACUGACACUACUGCUUUGACUCUCAAGAAGGCAAUUUGCAAAGUCCUUUCUGAUAAUAAUUUGAAUGUCCAAGACAUUAGAGGACAAGGCUAUGACGGGGCAAGUAAUAUGAGAGGUGAAUGGAAUGGAUUGAAGGCUCUAAUUCUGAAUGACUGCCCUUAUGCAUAUUAUGUGCAUUGCAUGGCUCAUUAG
rnacentral:rRNA from 1 species